rnacentral:rRNA from 1 species
UGCCUCAGUAACGGCGAGUGAAGCGGCAACAGCUCAAAUUUGAAAUCUGGCCUCACGGUCCGAGUUGUAAUUUGCAGAGGACGUCUCGGGUGCGACGCCGGUCUAAGUUCCUUGGAACAGGACGUCAUAGAGGGUGAGAAUCCCGUACGUGACCGGCGAUCAACCCCAUACGAGGCCCCUUCGACGAGUCGAGUUGUUUGGGAAUGCAGCUCUAAAUGGGUGGUAAAUUUCAUCUAAAGCUAAAUACCGGCCAGAGACCGAUAGCGCACAAGUAGAGUGAUCGAAAGAUGAAAAGCACUUUGGAAAGAGAGUUAAACAGUACGUGAAAUUGUUGAAAGGGAAGCGCUUGCAACCAGACUUGCUCGUGGGUGAUCAGCCGCCCUUCGGGGCGGUGCACUGAUCCACGAUCAGGCCAGCAUCGGUUUCGGCGGCCGGAUAACAGGGGCGGGAACGUAGCUUCCUUCGGGAAGUGUUAUAGCCCGUCCCACAAUGCGGUCAGCCGGGACCGAGGACCGCGCUUCGGCUAGGAUGCUGGCGUAAUGGUUGUCAGCGACCCGUCUUGAAACACGGACCAAGGAGUUGACAAACAACGCGAGUCUUUGGGUGUCAAACCCACAGGCGCAAUGAAAGUGAACGGAGGUGGGACCCCCGUCAGGGGCGCACCAUCGACCGAUCCUGAUGUCUUCGGAUGGAUUUGAGUACGAGCGUUGGUUGUCUGACCCGAAAGAUGGUGAACUAUGCGUGAAUAGGGUGAAGCCAGAGGAAACUCUGGUGGAGGCUCGCAGCGGUUCUGACGUGCAAAUCGAUCGUCAAAUUUGCGUAUAGGGGUACNUACUGCUUUCCCCCUUCUUUUUACGAAUGAUAUACUAACAUUUUGCGUUAGGCGAAAGACCAAUCGAACCAUCUAGUAGCUGGUUCCAGCCGAAGUUUCCCUCAGGAUAGCAGUAACGUUUUCAGUUUUAUGAGGUAAAGCGAAUGAUUAGAGGCCUUGGGGAUGCAACAUCCUUAACCUAUUCUCAAACUUUAAAUAUGUAAGAAGUCCUUGUUGCUUAAUUGAACGUGGACAUUUGAAUGCACCGUUACUAGUGGGCCAUUUUUGGUAAGCAGAACUGGCGAUGCGGGAUGAACCGAACGUGAGGUUAAGGUGCCGGAAUUUACGCUCAUCAGACACCACAAAAGGUGUCAAUUCAUCCAGACAGCCGGACGGUGGCCAUGGAAGUCGGAAUCCGCUAAGGAGUGUGUAACAACUCACCGGCCGAAUGAAUUGGCCCUGAAAAUGGAUGGCGCUCAAGCGUAAUACCUAUACCUCGCCGCCGGGGUAGAAACGAUGCCCCGGCGAGUAGGCUGGCGUGGAGGUCCGUGACGAAGC